rnacentral:rRNA from 1 species
UCAGGAUGAACGCUGGCGGCGUGCUAACACAUGCAAGUCGAACGAAGCAACUUAUUACGAUCUUUCGGAGUGACGAUUGUGACUGAGUGGCGGACGGGUGAGUAACGCGUGGGUAACCUGCCUCGUACAGGGGGACAACAGUUGGAAACGGCUGCUAAUACCGCAUAAGCGCACAGUACCGCAUGGUACAGUGUGAAAAACUCCGGUGGUACGAGAUGGACCCGCGUCUGAUUAGCUAGUUGGUGAGGUAACGGCCCACCAAGGCGACGAUCAGUAGCCGAUCUGGGAGGAUGAACGGCCACAUUGGGACUGAGACACGGCCCAGACUCCUACGGGAGGCAGCAGUGGGGAAUAUUGCACAAUGGGCGAAAGCCUGAUGCAGCGAACCGCCGCGUGAGCGAUGAAGUAUUUCGGUAUGUAAAGCUCUAUCAGCAGGGAAGAAAAAUGACGGUACCUGACUAAGAAGCACCGGCUAAAUACGUGCCAGCCGCAGC